GCAGAGUAAGAUGAGGUACAUGCUAGGAGAGGAGAUGCUGAAGCCCAUAGGCCACCAGACCACAGCUGACAGUUUUUCCUUGCUAGCCUGAAAGGAUCCACGGAGGAAAGAAGAAGGCACCAGAUCCUUCAGAGCCAGCAGAUUUAGAGCUGAAGUUACAGGCAGGUAUGACCUACUUUAUGGAUUCUUGGAAUCAAACUUGAGCCCUCUGCAAAACAAGUAAG
rnacentral:lncRNA from 1 species